rnacentral:rRNA from 1 species
UACGAGUGGUGCAAACGUUAUUCGGAAUCACUGGGCUUAAAGGGUGCGUAGGCGGCUACGAAAGUCAGGUGUGAAAUCCCUCAGCUCAACCUAGGAACUGCGCUUGAAACUACGUGGCUCGAGGAAGACAGAGGUGAGCGGAACUGAUGGUGGAGCGGUGAAAUGCGUUGAUAUCAUCAGGAACACCGGUGGCGAAGGCGGCUCACUGGGUCUUAUCUGACGCUGAGGCACGAAAGCCAGGGGAGAAAACGGG